AGCGGCGGACGGGUGAGUAACACGUGGGUAACCUGCCCAAGAGACUGGGAUAACACCUGGAAACAGAUGCUAAUACCGGAUAACAACACUAGACGCAUGUCUAGAGUUUGAAAGAUGGUUCUGCUAUCACUCUUGGAUGGACCUGCGGUGCAUUAGCUAGUUGGUAAGGUAACGGCUUACCAAGGCAAUGAUGCAUAGCCGAGUUGAGAGACUGAUCGGCCACAUUGGGACUGAGACACGGUCCAAACUCCUACGGGAGGCAGCAGUAGGGAAUCUUCCACAAUGGACGAAAGUCUGAUGGAGCAACGCCGCGUGAGUGAAGAAGGGUUUCGGCUCGUAAAGCUCUGUUGGUAGUGAAGAAAGAUAGAGGUAGUAACUGGCCUUUAUUUGACGGUAAUUACUUAGAAAGUCACGGCUAACUACGUGCCAGCUGCCGCGGUAAUACGUAGGUGGCAAGCGUUGUCCGGAUUUAUUGGGCGUAAAGCGAGUGCAGGCGGUUCAAUAAGUCUGAUGUGAAAGCCUUCGGCUCAACCGGAGAAUUGCAUCAGAAACUGUUGAACUUGAGUGCAGAAGAGGAGAGUGGAACUCCAUGUGUAGCGGUGGAAUGCGUAGAUAUAUGGAAGAACACCAGUGGCGAAGGCGGCUCUCUGGUCUGCAACUGACGCUGAGGCUCGAAAGCAUGGGUAGCGAACAGGAUUAGAUACCCUGGUAGUCCAUGCCGUAAACGAUGAGUGCUAAGUGU
rnacentral:rRNA from 1 species